rnacentral:rRNA from 1 species
ACGGAGGGUGCAAGCGUUGUUCGGAAUCACUGGGCGUAAAGGGCGUGUAGGCGGCCUGUUAAGUCUGAUGUGAAAUCCCCUCGCUCAACGAGGGAACUGCGUCGGAAACUGGCAGGCUCGAGUACCGGAGAGGAAGGUGGAAUUCCCGGUGUAGCGGUGAAAUGCGUAGAUAUCUGGAGGAAUACCGGUGGCGAAGGCGGCAUCCUGGACCGACAUUGACGCUGAGGGAGCGAAAGCCAGGGGAGCAAACGGGA